AGUGAACGCUGGCGGUAGGCCUAACACAUGCAAGUCGAACGGCAGCACAGUAAGAGCUUGCUCUUACGGGUGGCGAGUGGCGGACGGGUGAGGAAUACAUCGGAAUCUACUUUUUCGUGGGGGAUAACGUAGGGAAACUUACGCUAAUACCGCAUACGACCUACGGGUGAAAGCAGGGGAUCUUCGGACCUUGCGCGAUUGAAUGAGCCGAUGUCGGAUUAGCUAGUUGGCGGGGUAAAGGCCCACCAAGGCGACGAUCGGUAGCUGAUCUGAGAGGAUGAUCGGCCACACUGGAACUGAGACACGGUCCAGACUCCUACGGGAGGCAGCAGUGGGGAAUAUUGGGCAAUGGGCGCAAGCCUGAUCCAGCCAUACCGCGUGGGUGAAGAAGGCCUUCGGGUUGUAAAGCCCUGUUGUUGGGAAAGAAAAGCAGCAGAUUAAUACCCCGCUGUUCUGACGGUACCCAAAGAAUAAGCACCGGCUAACUUCGUG
rnacentral:rRNA from 1 species